rnacentral:rRNA from 1 species
CCUACGGGAGGCAGCAGUGAGGAAUAUUGGUCAAUGGACGAGAGUCUGAACCAGCCAAGUAGCGUGAAGGAUGACUGCCCUAUGGGUUGUAAACUUCUUUUAUAAAGGAAUAAAACGAGGCACGUGUGCCUUUUUGCAUGUACUUUAUGAAUAAGGAUCGGAUAACUCCGUGCCAGCAGCCGCGGUAAAACGGAGGAUACGAGCGUUAUCCGGAUUUAUUGGGUUUAAAGGGAGCGUAGAUGGGUUGUUAAGUAAGUUUUGAAAGUUUGCGGCUCAACCGUAAAAUUGCAAUUGAUACUGGCAGUCUUGAGUACAGUUGAGGUAGGCGGAAUUCGUGGUGUAGCGGUGAAAUGCUUAGAUAUCACGAAGAACCCCGAUUGCGAAGGCAGCUUACUAAACUGUGACUGACAUUGAUGCUCGAAAGUGUGGGUAUCAAACAGGAUUAGAUACCCCAGUAGUC